AGUAACACGUGAGUAACCUGCCCUUGACUCUGGGAUAAGCCCGGGAAACUGGGUCUAAUACCGGAUAGGAGCGCCUGUCGCAUGACGGGUGCUGGAAAGAUCUUUCGGUCAUGGAUGGACUCGCGGCCUAUCAGCUUGUUGGUGAGGUAACGGCUCACCAAGGCGACGACGGGUAGCCGGCCUGAGAGGGUGACCGGCCACACUGGGACUGAGACACGGCCCAGACUCCUACGGGAGGCAGCAGUGGGGAAUAUUGCACAAUGGGCGAAAGCCUGAUGCAGCGACGCCGCGUGAGGGAUGACGGCCUUCGGGUUGUAAACCUCUUUCAGCAGGGAAGAAGCGAAAGUGACGGUACCUGCAGAAGAAGCACCGGCUAACUACGUGCCAGCAGCCGCGGUAAUACGUAGGGUGCGAGCGUUAUCCGGAAUUAUUGGGCGUAAAGAGCUCGUAGGCGGUUUGUCACGUCUGUCGUGAAAGUCCGGGGCUUAACCCCGGAUCUGCGGUGGGUACGGGCAGACU
rnacentral:rRNA from 1 species